rnacentral:tRNA from 1 species
GAGGUUAUAUCUCAGUUGAUAGAGCACUUGCCUCACAUGCACAAAGUCCUGGGUUCAAUCCCCAGUACCACA